rnacentral:rRNA from 1 species
AGGACGAACGCUGGCGGCGUGCUUAACACAUGCAAGUCGAGCGGAAAGGCCCUUCGGGGUACUCGAGCGGCGAACGGGUGAGUAACACGUGAGCAACCUGCCCUUAGCUUCGGGAUAGCUCCGGGAAACCGGAAUUAAUACCGAAUAUGACUUUGGCUGACAUCAGCAGAAGUGGUAAAGUUUUUCGGCUAGGGAUGGACUCGCGGCCUAUCAGCUAGUUGGUGAGGUAACGGCCCACCAAGGCGACGACGGGUA